rnacentral:rRNA from 1 species
GGGGGAGCCUACCAUGCAGUCGAACGGUAACAGAACUAGCUUGCUAGUUGCUGACGAGUGGCGGACGGGUGAGUAAUGCUUGGGAAUUUGCCUUUGGGAGGGGGAUAACCACUGGAAACGGUGGCUAAUACCGCAUAAUGUCUACGGACCAAAGGGGGCUUCAGCUCCCAACCAUAGAGAAACCCAAGUGAGAUUAACUAAUUGGUGAGGUAAAGGGUCACCAAGGCGACCAUCUCUAGCUGUUCUGAAAGGAAGAUCAACCACCCUGGAACUGAGACCCGGUCCCAACUCCUACGGGAGGCCGCAGUGGGGAAUAUUGCACAAUGGGGGAAACCCUGAUGCCACCCUGCCGCGUGGGUGAAGAAGGCCUUCGGGUUGUAAAGCACUUUCAGUUGUGAAGAAAGGUUAGUAAUUAAUACCUGCUAACUGUGACGUUAACAACAGAAGAAGCACCGGCUAACUCCGUGCCAGCAGCCGCGGUAAUACGGAAGGUGCGAGCGUUAAUCCGAAUUACUGGGCGUAAAGCGCACGCAGGCGGUUUGGUAAGCUAGAUGUGAAAACCCCGGGCUCCACCUGGGAUGGUCAUUUAGAACUGGGAAACUAGAAUUUUGGAGAAGGGAAUGGAAUUCCAGGUGUACCGGUGAAAUGCGUAAAUAUCUGGAGGAACAUCAGUGGCCAAGGCGACUCUCUGGCCAAAGACUGACGCUCAUGUGCGAAAGUGUGGGUAGCGGACAGGAUUAGAUACCCUGGUACUCCACACCGUAAACGCUGUCUACUAGCUGUUUGUGAAUUUAAAUCCUGAAUAGCGAAGCUAACGCGCUAAGUAGACCGCCUGGGGAGUAGGGCGCAAGGUUAAAACUCAAAUGAAUUGACGGGGGCCCGCACAGCGGUGGAGCAUGUGAUCUAAUUCCAUGCAACGCGAAAAGCUUACCUACACUUGAACUGCAGAGAACUUUACAGAGAUGGAUGGUGCCUUCGGGAACUCUGAAACACGUGGCUGCAUGGCUGUCGUCAGUCGUGUCCUGAAAUGUGAGAUAAGUCCCGCAACCAGCGCAACCGUGACUAGUGCAACAUGCAGUGGGCACUUUAGGAACUGCCGUGACCACCCGAGAACGUGGGGACGAC